UACGAGAGGCCCAAACGUUAUUCGGAUUUACUGGGCUUAAAGAGUUCGUAGGCGGCGCAGAAAGUAGGGUGUGAAAGCCCUCGGCUCAACCGAGGAAUUGCGCUCUAAACUACUGUGCUCGAGGAAUCUAGAGGUGAGCGGAACUGAUGGUGGAGCGGUGAAAUGCGUUGAUAUCAUCAGGAACACCGGAGGCGAAGGCGGCUCACUGGGGAUUUUCUGACGCUGAGGAACGAAAGCCAGGGGAGCGAACGGG
rnacentral:rRNA from 1 species